GAAGGAGGGAAACAGACAGGGACAAAAUACUUUCUCCUUAAUUUGUCAAGCAUCACAUCGAAGCUUCCUCGGCUCUCCAGAGAUAUGACCUAGGUGCCUGACUCUUCUGCAACAGCCUAAGAUAAGAGGAGAGGAUGUGGAGAAACAGGAAUGCUUUUACACUGUUGGUCAGAGUGUACAUUAGUUCAACCAUUGUGGAAGACAGUGUGGCGACUCCUCAAGCAUCUACAACCAGAAAUACCAUUUGACCCAGCAAUCCCAUUACUGGGUAUGUACCCAAAAGAUUAUAGAUCAUUCUACUAUAAAAACUCAUGCACA
rnacentral:lncRNA from 10 species